CCGCAAGUCUCCAGUGUGCCCAGGUCUGCAGUGACCCUGUGCAGUCCUGCAGUGCUUGACAGAGCCGUUUUUAAAUGAUUUGAGGCCUUGCUCUGCUCUCUCCAGAACAAGGUUAUAGAAAUUUCAGACAAUU
rnacentral:snoRNA from 1 species